GCGGCAACAGCUCAAAUUUGAAAUCUGGCGCAAGCCCGAGUUGUAAUUUGUAGAGGAUGUUUCUGGCGACGUGCCUUCCGAGUUCCCUGGAACGGGACGCCAUAGAGGGUGAGAGCCCCGUACGGUUGGAUGCCUAGCCUCUGUGAAACUCCUUCGACGAGUCGAGUAGUUUGGGAAUGCUGCUCUAAAUGGGAGGUAUACGUCUUCUAAAGCUAAAUACCGGCCAGAGACCGAUAGCGCACAAGUAGAGUGAUCGAAAGAUGAAAAGCACUUUGAAAAGAGGGUUAAAAAGUACGUGAAAUUGUUGAAAGGGAAGCGUUCAUGACCAGACUUGGGCAGGUUGAUCAUCCGUGGUUCUCCGCGGUGCACUCUGCCUGCCCAGGCCAGCAUCAGUUCGCCCCGGGGGAUAAAGGCUUUGGGAAUGUGGCUCCCUCGGGAGUGUUAUAGCCCACUGUGUAAUACCCUGGGGUGGACUGAGGUUCGCGCUCUGCAAGGAUGCUGGCGUAAUGGUCAUCAACGACCCGUCUUGAAACACGGACCAAGGAGUCGUCUUCGUAUGCGAGUGUUCGGGUGUCAAACCCCUACGCGUAAUGAAAGUGAACGUAGGAGAGAGCUUCGGCGCAUCUCCGACCGAUCCUGAUGUUCUCGGAUGGAUUUGAGUAAGAGCAUACGGGGCCGGACCCGAAAGAAGGUGAACUAUGCCUGUAUAGGGUGAAGCCAGAGGAAACUCUGGUGGAGGCUCGCAGCGGUUCUGACGUGCAAAUCGAUCGUCAAAUAUGGGCAUGGGGGCGAAAGA
rnacentral:rRNA from 1 species